rnacentral:misc_RNA from 1 species
GAAGAAGCCUGUCGGUACAACAGCUUACAUGGGACGAUUGCAACAUCUGAUGGAAUCCACUUGCAAAGUUCAGAAAGCUGAGGACUGGUUAAACCCUAGCAUCGUUCUUGAGGUUUUCGAAGCACGGUCAGCUAGGAUGUCUGUUGAAUGUGCCAAAAGACUAAGCAAGUUUACCAAUCAAGAAGAAGGUUUUCAGGAACUUUCUCCUAGUUUGGUUGAGGCUGCAGUUGCACAUUGUCAACUAAUUAUUGUCUCCAAAUUCAUUGAGAAACUUCAGGG